rnacentral:rRNA from 1 species
GACGAACGCUGGCGGCGUGCCUAAUACAUGCAAGUCGAGCGAGCUUGCCUAGAUGAAUUUGGUGCUUGCACCAGAUGACACUAGAUACAAGCGAGCGGCGGACGGGUGAGUAACACGUGGGUCACCUGCCCAAGAGACUGGGAUAACACCUGGAAACAGAUGCUCAUACCGGAUAACAGCACUAGACGCAUGUCUAGAGUUUAAAAGAUGGUUCUGCUAUCACUCUUGGAUGGGCCUGCGGUGCAUUCGCUAGUUGGUAAGGCAACGGCUUACCAAGGCAGUGAUGCAUAGCCGAGUUGUGAGACUGAUAGGCGACAUUGGGACUGAGACACGGCCAAAACUCCUACGGGAGGCAGCAGUAGGGAAUCUUCCGCAAUGGACGCAAGUCUGAUGGAGCAACGCCGCGUGAGUGAAGAAGGGUUUGGGCUCGUAAAGCUCUGUUGGUAGUGAAGAAAGAUAGAGGUAGUAACUGGCCUUUAUUUGACGGUAAUUACUUAGAAAGUCACGGCUAACUACGUG